CCCAGGCAUCAGGAUGAAGUGUAAACUCCUC
rnacentral:piRNA from 1 species